rnacentral:rRNA from 1 species
UACAGAGGUCUCAAGCGUUGUUCGGAUUCAUUGGGCGUAAAGGGUGUGUAGGUGGCGCGCUAAGUCGGGUGUGAAAUUUCGGAGCUUAACUCCGAAACUGCAUUCGAUACUGGCGUGCUUGAGGACUGGAGAGGAGACUGGAAUUCAUGGUGUAGCAGUGAAAUGCGUAGAGAUCAUGAGGAAGACCAGUGGCGAAGGCGGGUCUCUGGACAGUUCCUGACACUGAGACUCGACGAGCCAGGGAGACGGAAACGG